GGUAGUCAAUAAGGUGGAGACAACUGUGAGGUUAUCAUCAGCUACUUUGAGGGCAUUUUCAUGCUCUGUUUCAGCUUGGCUUAAGAGAUUACGAGAUGUAGCUUUCGAAUAUAAGCAGCUCCAACAAUUGGUUUAAGGUUUCUGCAGUUAGCUAGCAAAAAUUUUCAGCGUUUGAAAAGUUGUAAGUUACCUAAUAUAGGCCAAGGAGUCUUCCAUGGUUGAGGUGUAGAGAGAAUAUAUUUUCGUCUUUUUAUUUCUAGCAUUCAGCUUUCUCACAUAGCAAAGAUCUCCUACUCUCCUGCUUAUGCAUUUGUUUUUCUGUAUACGUUUUUGUUUUCAUUCUCUGUGGCUGCUGGGAUUUUGUAUACUCUUUAAGGGCCUGUACCUGUCUUUUGUUUGUUAUACUCCGUAUGAUUGAAGUAACUCUUUUGUUUUAGGGGAAUUGAGGAAAUCCUUUGCGGUCAUCUAUGCAUGCUAAACUGAAUGCUCUUUUAUGCUAACAAAACUGUUUCUAUCAAUGAGGCUGAUUUUUGGGAGAUGGGCUAUUUAUUGAGACAAAAGUUGCUGGUACCACUACUGGCAUAUCUACGAAUAACAAGAAGGAUAUGGCAGGAAGGGAAUUCAUCUCUGUGUCUAGCACAAUAGAAGGAAAACACCAGAUCAAUAGAGACAUUCAAGUAUGUCCUUUGUUUAUUAAGGAAAUAGCAACGAGAAUUGUUUCUGCAGGUAAUUCAACAUGCUCCUAUGAUGUUUUUACAGGCUUCUGGCUGAGGGGAUAUUGAUGAAGUUGGUAACUGCAGAAGUGUUAGUUCUAAUAGUGAUCCGAGCACGACUGGGUUAACAUUACCAGAGGUCUUUUGUUUAUCAUUAGCAGGUCUUAUUGGGCAUGAUGAUUAUAUCUAUAAGUACUUUUGGCAAGAAGAGCCAUUAAACUCCAAAUUGCCUCUCUAUUUCAACCCUUUGUGGACAUACAUAAACUCCAAAAUUGCCUCUCCUUUUUUUGGUUUCAAAUGUGUCGGUUGUUUUUGGUAAAAUACCUUCUGGUUUGACUUGAAGUGCUUUAAUUAUAUGUCUCCUUAAAAAGUUGGUAUUUCACAAGGACUAAAAUUUUGGGAUUGAGGUAGUAUGUACCACUACACUGCAACAUGGAAAUGAAGGGUCAGCGCUUAAUAUUUCAAAACUAGGAUUAUGUUGCUUAACUUACUUUUG